GGGGAUCUAGGCGGAGGACUAUCAUAAUCGGAGGAGCAUAUCAAUAAGCGGAGGAACAUAUCAAUAAGCGGAGGAGCAUAUCAAUAGGCGGAGGGUAUCGCCUUACCCGGGAACGGCUUACCCUGUAGCGGCUGCCGGUGGACUACCAAACUCUUGUUAUUUUAUUGUAAUCUGAGCGUCUUAUUUUAAUAAGUCAAAACUUUCAACAACGGAUCUCUUGGUUCUGGCAUCGAUGAAGAACGCAGCGAAAUGCGAUAAGUAAUGUGAAUUGCAGAAUUCAGUGAAUCAUCGAAUCUUUGAACGCACAUUGCGCCCAUUAGUAUUCUAGUGGGCAUGCCUGUUCGAGCGUCAUUUCAACCCUUAAGCCUAGCUUAGUGUUGGGAGCCUACUGCUUUUGCUAGCUGUAGCUCCUGAAAUACAACGGCGGAUCUGCGAUAUCCUCUGAGCGUAGUAAUUUUUAUCUCGCUUUUGACUGGAGUUGCAGCGUCUUUAGCCGCUAAAUCCCCCAAUUUUUAAUGGUUGACCUCGGAUCAGGUAGGAAUACCCGCUGAACUUAAGCAUAUCAAUAAGCGGAGGAAGG
rnacentral:rRNA from 1 species